rnacentral:rRNA from 1 species
AUUGAACGCUGGCGGCAUGCCUUACACAUGCAAGUCGAACGGCAGCAUGAUCUCGCUUGCUAGAUUGAUGGCGAGUGGCGAACGGGUGAGUAAUACAUCGGAACGUGCCCUGUAGUGGGGGAUAACUAGUCGAAAGAUUAGCUAAUACCGCAUACGACCUGAGGGUGAAAGUGGGGGACCGCAAGGCCUCAUGCUAUAGGAGCGGCCGAUGUCUGAUUAGCUAGUUGGUGAGGUACAGGCUCACCAAGGCGACGAUCAGUAGCUGGUCUGAGAGGACGAUCAGCCACACUGGGAGUGAGACACGGCCCAGACUCCUACGGGAGGCAGCAGUGGGGAAUUUUGGACAAUGGGCGAAAGCCUGAUCCAGCAAUGCCGCGUGUGUGAAGAAGGCCUUCGGGUUGUAAAGCACUUUUGUCCGGAAAGAAAUGGCUCUGGUUAAUACCUGGGGUCGAUGACGGUACCGGAAGAAUAAGGACCGGCUAACUACGUG